rnacentral:rRNA from 1 species
UACGUAGGACCCGAGCGAUAUCCGGAUUCACUGGGUGUAAAGGGUGUGUAGGCGGGCGUGCGCGUCCGGGGUGAAAGGGUCCGGCUCAACCGGAAACAUGCCUUGGAUACGGCACGUCUUGGGUGCGGGAGAGGACGGUGGAAUUCCUGGUGUAGCGGUGAAAUGCGUAGAUAUCAGGAGGAACACCAGUGGCGAAGGCGGCCGUCUGGCCCACAACCGACGCUGAAACACGAAAGCGUGGGGAUCAAACAGG